AACGAACGCUGGCGGCAGGCUUAACACAUGCAAGUCGAACGGGUGUAGCAAUACAUCAGUGGCAGACGGGUGAGUAACACGUGGGAACCUUCCUAGGGGUACGGAACAACUCAGGGAAACUUGAGCUAAUACGGUAUACGUCCGUGAGGAGAAAGAUUUAUCGCCCUUAGACGGGCCCGCGUCGGAUUAGCUAGUUGGUGGGGUAACGGCCUACCAAGGCGACGAUCCGUAGCUGAUCUUAGAGGAGGAUCAGCCACACUGGGACUGAGAAACGGCCCAGACGCCUACGGGAGGCAGCAGUGGGGAAUCUUGGACAAUGGGCGCAAGCCUGAUCCAGCCAUGCCGCGUGAGUGAAGAAGGUCUUCGGAUUGUAAAGCUCUUUUGCCAGGGACGAUAAUGACGGUACCUGGAGAAUAAGCCCCGGCAAACUUCGUGCCAGACGCCGCAGUAA
rnacentral:rRNA from 1 species